rnacentral:rRNA from 1 species
CACUAUCGUUAACUGAAUACAUAGGUUAACGAGGCGAACCGGGGGAACUGAAACAUCUAAGUACCCCGAGGAAAAGAAAUCAACCGAGAUUCCCCCAGUAGCGGCGAGCGAACGGGGAGCAGCCCAGAGUCUGAAUCAGCUUGUGUGUUAGUGGAACGGUCUGGAAAGUCCGACGGUACAGGGUGAUAGUCCCGUACACCAAAAUGCACAGGUUGUGAACUCGAAGAGUAGGGCGGGACACGUGGUAUCCUGUCUGAAUAUGGGGGGACCAUCCUCCAAGGCUAAAUACUCCUGACUGACCGAUAGUGAACCAGUACCGUGAGGGAAAGGCGAAAAGAACCCCGGCGAGGGGAGUGAAAAAGAACCUGAAACCGUGUACGUACAAGCAGUGGGAGCACCUUCGGGUGUGACUGCGUACCUUUUGUAUAAUGGGUCAGCGACUUAUAUUCUGUAGCAAGGUUAACCGUAUAGGGGAGCCGCAGGGAAACCGAGUCUUAACUGGGCGUUAAGUUGCAGGGUAUAGACCCGAAACCCGGUGAUCUAGCCAUGGGCAGGUUGAAGGUUGGGUAACACUAACUGGAGGACCGAACCGACUAAUGUUGAAAAAUUAGCGGAUGACUUGUGGCUGGGGGUGAAAGGCCAAUCAAACCGGGAGAUAGCUGGUUCUCCCCGAAAGCUAUUUAGGUAGCGCCUCGUGAAUUCAUCUUCGGGGGUAGAGCACUGUUUCGGCUAGGGGGUCAUCCCGACUUACCAACCCGAUGCAAACUACGAAUACCGAAGAAUGUUAUCACGGGAGACACACGGCGGGUGCUAACGUCCGUCGUGAAGAGGGAAACAACCCAGACCGCCAGCUAAGGUCCCAAAGUCAUGGUUAAGUGGGAAACGAUGUGGGAAGGCACAGACAGCCAGGAUGUUGGCUUAGAAGCAGCCAUCAUUUAAAGAAAGCGUAAUAGCUCACUGGUCGAGUCGGCCUGCGCGGAAGAUGUAACGGGGCUAAACCAUGCACCGAAGCUGCGGCAGCGACACUAUGUGUUGUUGGGUAGGGGAGCGUUCUGUAAGCCUGCGAAGGUGUGCUGUGAGGCAUGCUGGAGGUAUCAGAAGUGCGAAUGCUGACAUAAGUAACGAUAAAGCGGGUGAAAAGCCCGCUCGCCGGAAGACCAAGGGUUCCUGUCCAACGUUAAUCGGGGCAGGGUGAGUCGACCCCUAAGGCGAGGCCGAAAGGCGUAGUCGAUGGGAAACAGGUUAAUAUUCCUGUACUUGGUGUUACUGCGAAGGGGGGACGGAGAAGGCUAUGUUAGCCGGGCGACGGUUGUCCCGGUUUAAGCAUGUAGGCUGGUUGUCCAGGCAAAUCCGGAUAAUCAAGGCUGAGGUGUGAUGACGAGGCACUACGGUGCUGAAGUAACAAAUGCCCUGCUUCCAGGAAAAGCCUCUAAGCAUCAGGUAACAUUAAAUCGUACCCCAAACCGACACAGGUGGUCAGGUAGAGAAUACCAAGGCGCUUGAGAGAACUCGGGUGAAGGAACUAGGCAAAAUGGUGCCGUAACUUCGGGAGAAGGCACGCUGGUGUGUAGGUGAAGUCCCUGCGGAUGGAGCUGAGACCAGUCGAAGAUACCAGCUGGCUGCAACUGUUUAUUAAAAACACAGCACUGUGCAAACACGAAAGUGGACGUAUACGGUGUGACGCCUGCCCGGUGCCGGAAGGUUAAUUGAUGGGGUUAUCCGUAAGGAGAAGCUCUUGAUCGAAGCCCCGGUAAACGGCGGCCGUAACUAUAACGGUCCUAAGGUAGCGAAAUUCCUUGUCGGGUAAGUUCCGACCUGCACGAAUGGCGUAAUGAUGGCCAGGCUGUCUCCACCCGAGACUCAGUGAAAUUGAACUCGCUGUGAAGAUGCAGUGUACCCGCGGCAAGACGGAAAGACCCCGUGAACCUUUACUAUAGCUUGACACUGAACAUUGAGCCUUGAUGUGUAGGAUAGGUGGGAGGCUUUGAAGCGUGGACGCCAGUCUGCGUGGAGCCAACCUUGAAAUACCACCCUUUAAUGUUUGAUGUUCUAACGUUGGCCCCUUACCGGGGUUGCGGACAGUGUCUGGUGGGUAGUUUGACUGGGGCGGUCUCCUCCCAAAGCGUAACGGAGGAGCACGAAGGUUAGCUAAUCCUGGUCGGACAUCAGGAGGUUAGUGCAAUGGCAUAAGCUAGCUUGACUGCGAGCGUGACGGCGCGAGCAGGUGCGAAAGCAGGUCAUAGUGAUCCGGUGGUUCUGAAUGGAAGGGCCAUCGCUCAACGGAUAAAAGGUACUCCGGGGAUAACAGGCUGAUACCGCCCAAGAGUUCAUAUCGACGGCGGUGUUUGGCACCUCGAUGUCGGCUCAUCACAUCCUGGGGCUGAAGUAGGUCCCAAGGGUAUGGCUGUUCGCCAUUUAAAGUGGUACGCGAGCUGGGUUUAGAACGUCGUGAGACAGUUCGGUCCCUAUCUGCCGUGGGCGCUGGAGAAUUGAGGGGGGCUGCUCCUAGUACGAGAGGACCGGAGUGGACGCAUCACUGGUGUUCGGGUUGUCAUGCCAAUGGCACUGCCCGGUAGCUAAAUGCGGAAGAGAUAAGUGCUGAAAGCAUCUAAGCACGAAACUUGCCCCGAGAUGAGUUCUCCCUGAGACUUUAAGUCUCCUGAAGGAACGUUAAAGACGAUGACGUUGAUAGGCCGGGUGUGUAAGCGCAGCGAUGCGUUGAGCUAACCGGUACUAAUGAACCGUGAGGCUUAACCUU